UUUUCCGUAGGUGAACCUGCGGAUGGAUCAUUAAGAGGUUAGCAAAAACACUUUGUCUUGCAAACCACUGUGGUGUUAUGAGUGUUGUUUUGGCGGCGAUGUUGCGUGCGAAAGCGCGCAUGCGCCGCCGGCAUCAAACCUAAUCAACUAUUUCUACAACUAUUCAGCUGUUCUGAUUAUCCACUAUUUCGAUAGCAUAAUCCUAUACAACUGCUAGCAACGGAUCACUCGGCUCUCGCGUCGAUGAAGAACGUAGCAAAGUGCGAAAAUUAAUGCGACACGCAACACGUGAGUCAUCGAGAGAUCUUUGAACGCAUAUUGCACCCGACAGGCUCGCUUGUCGGGUCUGCCUGUUUGAGUAUCAGUUUACCCCAACAGCCCGCGCUGUGUGUGUGCAAACGCAUGCGGCGCGCGGUUUGUUGGUGCUCGCGGUGCGCAUCUUGUGUGCGUGCUGCGGAUCUGGCGUCUCGGAGUCUCUCUUGUAGAGACACUGUGCGCUGAAAUGCAUUGGUCGACCGGCGCAUCAACCAACGUGUUGUGUUCGGACCAAGUCGAUUAGCAAAGUUAAUCAUCUGCAAAGGUGUAUUUGUUAACGCGGCGCGGUUAUCCCAAACGAACAUGGCCAUGAUGUCCAAGCGAACCACCCAGCACACUUGCGCGCGCGCGGUUUCACCGCCGCUCGCAGGCGUACACUCUUCAAACCUUGAUCUCAAAUCAGGCAGGAUGACCCGCUGAAUUUA
rnacentral:rRNA from 1 species